GAACAUAGCUUCAGCAGUACAUAUACUAAGAUUGAAACGAUACAGAGAAGAUCAUUUUGGCCCCUGUGCAAAGAUGAUGUGCAAAUUCAUGAAGCGUUACAUAUUCUU